AAGGAAGAGGCUGACCUGGGAAAGUCCUUGGGAGUGGUGGCUGGGCGGGGCCUCUGGCUCUGGACUGGAGUUGGAGAGAUCGUUAGCAGGAGGACUGGUCUCAUGGGACCUUCUCACUAGCUGCUUCCUUGUUCUAUGGCUCAGCCUAGAGAUGGACUUCUGGGAUUUCUGGGGUGUCUGAAGGGACCACAACUCGGCGACCCAAGCCCACGCGCCCAGCCAGUACUGGGGUGGCUGGGGCCAGUAGCUCCCUGGGCCCCUCUGGCUCAGCGUCAGCAGGUGAGCUGAGCAGCAGUGAGCCCAGCACCCCGGCUCAGACUCCGCUGGCAGCACCCAUCAUCCCCACGCCGGUCCUCACCUCUCCUGGAGCAGUCCCCCCGCUUCCUUCCCCAUCCAAGGAGGAGGAGGGACUAAGGGCUCAGGUGCGGGACCUGGAGGAGAAACUAGAGACCCUGAGACUGAAACGGGCAGAAGACAAAGCAAAGCUAAAAGAGCUGGAGAAACACAAAAUCCAGCUGGAGCAGGUGCAGGAAUGGAAGAGCAAAAUGCAGGAGCAGCAGGCCGACCUG
rnacentral:lncRNA from 10 species